UACGAAGGGGGCUAGCGUUGCUCGGAAUCACUGGGCGUAAAGGGUGCGUAGGCGGGUCUUUAAGUCAGGGGUGAAAUCCUGGAGCUCAACUCCAGAACUGCCUUUGAUACUGAAGAUCUUGAGUUCGGGACAGGUGAGUGGAACUGCGAGUGUAGAGGUGAAAUUCGUAGAUAUUCGCAAGAACACCAGUGGCGAAGGCGGCUCACUGGCCCGAUACUGACGCUGAGGCACGAAAGCGUGGGGAGCAAACAGG
rnacentral:rRNA from 1 species